GACGAACGCUGGCGGCGCGCCUAAUACAUGCAAGUGGGACGCAAGGGAACACACUGUGCUUGCACACCGUGUUUUCUUGAGUCGCGAACGGGUGAGUAACGCGUAGGUAACCUGCCUAUUAGCGGGGGAUAACUAUUGGAAACGAUAGCUAAUACCGCAUAAUAUUAAUUAUUGCAUGAUAAUUGAUUGAAAGAUGCAAGCGCAUCACUAGUAGAUGGACCUGCGUUGUAUUAGCUAGUUGGUAAGGUAAGAGCUUACCAAGGCGACGAUACAUAGCCGACCUGAGAGGGUGAUCGGCCACACUGGGACUGAGACACGGCCCAGACUCCUACGGGAGGCAGCAGUAGGGAAUCUUCGGCAAUGGACGAAAGUCUGACCGAGCAACGCCGCGUGAGUGAAGAAGGUUUUCGGAUCGUAAAGCUCUGUUGUAAGUCAAGAACGUGUGUGAGAGUGGAAAGUUCACACAGGACGUAGCUACCAGAAAGGC
rnacentral:rRNA from 1 species